AAAUUGCCCUUUUUGUUAUUGUCUGAUUGUUGGCUCCACCCCCUCGGUGGUGGGAGGUUGUGUUUCAAUUAGGCCGCAAGGUCAAUAUAAUCAGGUGGAUUACCUGACACAGGUGUUUGUGUUGGUGGGGAGCUAAAUAGUUUUUUGGCCGUGAGCGUGGGAGGAAGGUGAACGUGACAGGGCGAGCAUGGAAGAGACAUGUAUUAAGAUCAUUUGAUGGUGUCACUAACUAACAAAAUAAAGGACAAUUGGAGAUGUCUCAAGGAGUACGUAACCGCCUCAAAACAAGCUCAUAUAAGCAUGAUUUCUCUCAGAUUGGCACCAAGCAUCCAGGAUAUGAAUAAAAAAUUACCCUUUGCGUUUUGAAAAAAAUUCUAACUUAUAAAUAUAGUUUAUUUUUGAGCGUGAGACAUGCAUCUGCCAUUCUUUGUGCACCACAAGCAAUUUCAGUGCUUUCCGUGCAGGUUUUAUUGGUUGGGGUUCAAGCCAAUCUUCACACCCCAGCGUUACUUUAGGCUGUACCCAUUUCGGCUUCUGAGCGGCUAAGGAAGCUGUCAAUCAUUUCCGUGUGGGAUUAGUUGGAUCCAAUAGGGAGCCAUAUGUUUGGCAACUCUGGUUAUUGCCACAAUAGAGGCAGCCCUUCCUGUCUGGAUGAUGAAGACCAUGUGUGCAAGCAAAUGGCAGCUAGCUGGCUAUGUGCUUGUGUUGGAAUGAUCCUGGCAGGCAUAGCUACCAUUUCUUUUGGAUUUUCCACGAACAUCUAUCAUGUGCUUGUUCUGAAUGCGAGUGUCGGCUUUUUCUGUUGGUGUGGUGGACUCUUCAAUAAUGCCUCUUAUGGGUAACUUGGUAGACCCGAGAUAUGUGCCGGCAUAUUCUACAGUUUAUGCGAUUGCCGAUGUCGCUAUCUGCAUCGGAUUCUCCGUGGUCAAUUUCAAAAGAAAAUGAAAACUGAUCAGCCUGAGAACAUGGAAUGACUCUGUAUGCAGAAAUUAAAGCAUUGUAUUGGUUUGGAGUAGCCGAACAUUCCCAGCUUCAUUUCCGGUUCUCUUCUGUGACGACCCUCUGGGCCGCUGGCUGGUGUCCCUGCAUGUGGUACCUUGAUUGUAACCAGUGAACGGAAGAAACCAUAGAUUGUUUCACAGCGGAGGGACAAAGAGACAUUAUGACUCAUGUAGUUGUUUUUAGUGCAAAUUUUAUUUUUUCCCCAAAGGUGUAUUUUGGCCGGUGGACGUUUGCAUGUCUGGGUAGGUGGAGUCGGGAUGAGUUGAAACACCAGAACCCGCCAACGCCAAGGCCAACAUCACUCAUCUGGAAACAGAUGUUCUCCAAACAUACAUGUUCAUAUGCUUUGCUAGCCUUCUACAGAGGACCCCGAUGCCAUUGUUCCUAGAAUGUAACAAUUGAUUUCUUAUCAUUAUUUCUGUAACUGAAUGACUUUCAAAUAAUAAAAUAAUAUAUUAAAGCUAGGUCCAACAGGCAAAAAUAACACAACGUUUAUUUAAAGGCCUCGGAUUCAUUAGACACAUGUUUAUAGCGUGUGGUUUUUAGAUUAGAGAUUAGAUUCAACUUUAUUGUCAUUGUACAGAGAAAGUACUGAGGCAGCGAAAUGCAGUUUAGCAUCCAACCAGAAGUGCAAAAUAGCAAACAGAAUAUGUGCAUA